GACGAACGCUGGCGGCGUGCUUAAUACAUGCAAGUCGAACGGAAAGGCCCUGCGUUUGUGGGGUGCUCGAGUGGCGAACGGGUGAGUAAAACGUGAGUAACCUGCCCUUGACUUUGGGAUAACUUCAGGAAACAGCGGAGAAUACCGGAUAGAAUAUCCUGCUGCAUGGUGGGGGAUGGAAAGUGACGGCGGUUGGGGAUGGACUCGCGGCUUAUCCGCUUGAUGGGGAGGUAGUGGCUUACCAAGGCUGUGAAGGGUAGCCCGCCUGGGAGAGGGACCAGCGACCUGGGGCCUACGGGAGGCCCCAGACUCCUACGGUCGGCAGCAGGGGGGAAUAUGGCACAAUAGCCGGAAGUCUGAUGCGGCAGCGCCGCGUGCGGGAUGACGGCCUUCGAGUUGUAAACCGCUUUCGCCUGUGCCGAAGCGUGAGUGACGGUAAUGGGUCAAGAAGCACCGGCUAACUACGUG
rnacentral:rRNA from 1 species